rnacentral:tRNA from 1 species
AGCCCCGUAGUGUAGCGGCCAAUCAUCCGGGACUCUGGCUCCUGGGACCUCGGUUCGAAUCCGGGCGGGGCUA